CUACGGGAGGCAGCAGUGGGGAAUUUUGGACAAUGGGGGCAACCCUGAUCCAGCCAUGCCGCGUGAGUGAAGAAGGCCUUCGGGUUGUAAAGCUCUUUCAGCCGGGAAGAAAUCGCAUGGGCUAAUACCCCGUGUGGAUGACGGUACUGGAAUAAGAAGCACCGGCUAACUACGUGCCAGCAGCCGCGGUAAUACGUAGGGUGCGAGCGUUAAUCGGAAUUACUGGGCGUAAAGCGUGCGCAGGCGGUUUAGUAAGACAGGCGUGAAAUCCCCGGGCUCAACCUGGGAACUGCGCUUGUGACUGCUAAGCUAGAGUACGGCAGAGGGGGGUGGAAUUCCACGUGUAGCAGUGAAAUGCGUAGAGAUGUGGAGGAACACCAAUGGCGAAGGCAGCCCCCUGGGUCGAUACUGACGCUCAUGCACGAAAGCGUGGGUAGCAAACAGGAUUAGAUACCCUGGUAGUCCACGCCCUAAACGAUGUCAACUAGGUGUUGGGUGGGUAAAACCAUUUAGUACCGGAGCUAACGCGUGAAGUUGACCGCCUGGGGAGUACGGCCGCAAGGUUAAAACUCAAAGGAAUUGACGG
rnacentral:rRNA from 1 species